AAAGAAAAGACGAUAUUCUUGACUUCAUAGAAAAUCAACUGAAGAAUCAUCAUCCGAGAAAUGAUUACAAGGAGUUUUUGGAGCUGAGCUGUAUCUUUUUGGGUGGUAUCAAAAGUCAUAGAGCCGAAUUUAAAGCACCUGGUGCUUUUCAUCACGCACGGUGGUAAUCGAAAGCUCUCUAUUGCUUGAAAAUAUAUAUGUUUAGAAACCAGUUUAAAAUGGGAGCAAACGAAAAAAAAAUUUUGCAGAAAAUAUGUGUUUUCAUCGUAAUAUUUUAUGUAAAAAUAUGGUUUACUGCUCCUAAUGCAAUAAAUGCUCCAAACUCGGAUUUGCAAUUAGUAAAAGAUCUUAUUGACUACAGAAAAAUACAUCCAGAAAUUGCAAAUGCAGCACUCGAUAAAUUGUCUCGGCAUUUGUGGUAAUUACACGAAAAUCUUGCUUGUUUGGCUCUUUUUGAUGAAACUGUGUCAGUAGAAGAAAAAGUAAAGAUCGUACAAAAAAUAAAUUCCCAGGUAGCGGUCAAAAAGCCUAAUAAACGUUUAUCAGUCGCUUAUGAAGAAAUAACGUCGUUAUCUGAGAAAAACAUAAGCGAUUUUGUUAAUCCAAACUCGUUGUUUAUUUUUGAGCAAUUUGAGCUCCCCUAUGAAUUUUUGCAUACAGAUCCAAGUUUGUGGGAAUCAAAUCUUGAGUAUAAACGAUGUUAUGAUACAUUCAAAAAGUUAAAAGUAGUAAACGAUACUGCGGAAAGAGAAGUAGCGCUAGCCGAAAGUUUUAAUGAAGUAUUGACUUAUAACGAAGAUGAAAGACAAAGAAUUUUUCAAACUGUUCAGCACCAUCGAUCUCAAUACACAUCGUGUAAAAAAUCACAAUAUAUUGACAAUGAAUUAAUCUAACAAUUCAUUUUUCUGCUUUCAAUAAUAAUUAAUUGGUAUUGUUGUUUUUA
rnacentral:misc_RNA from 1 species